AUUGAACGCUGGCGGCAGGCCUAACACAUGCAAGUCGAGCGGAUGAAGGGAGCUUGCUCCUGGAUUCAGCGGCGGACGGGUGAGUAAUGCCUAGGAAUCUGCCUGGUAGUGGGGGAUAACGUCCGGAAACGGGCGCUAAUACCGCAUACGUCCUGAGGGAGAAAGUGGGGGAUCUUCGGACCUCACGCUAUCAGAUGAGCCUAGGUCGGAUUAGCUAGUUGGUGGGGUAAAGGCCUACCAAGGCGACGAUCCGUAACUGAUCUGGGAGGGAGAUCAGGCACACUGGAACUGAGACACGGUCCCGAACCCCACGGGGGGCCACGGUGGGGAAUUUUUGGCAAUGGGGGAAAGCCUGACGCAGCACAGCCGGGGGAGGGAAGAAGGUCUUCUGAUUGGAAAACUCUUUUAGUUGGGAAGAAAGAGUGUGAAAGUAAAUAUGCGCUUUUUGAAGUUACCCAAUCAAAAAGCCACGGCUAACUAGGUG
rnacentral:rRNA from 1 species